UAGGGAAUCUUCCGCAAUGGACGCAAGUCUGACGGAGCAACGCCGCGUGAGUGAAGAAGGAUUUCGGUUCGUAAAACUCUGUUGUUAGAGAAGAACAGCGCAUAGAGUAACUGUUAUGCGUGUGACGGUAUCUAACCAGAAAGCCACGGCUAACUACGUGCCAGCAGCCGCGGUAAUACGUAGGUGGCAAGCGUUGUCCGGAUUUAUUGGGCGUAAAGCGAGCGCAGGCGGUCAAUUAAGUCUGAUGUGAAAGCCCCCGGCUCAACCGGGGAGGGUCAUUGGAAACUGGUUGACUUGAGUGCAGAAGAGGAGAGUGGAAUUCCAUGUGUAGCGGUGAAAUGCGUAGAUAUAUGGAGGAACACCAGUGGCGAAGGCGACUCUCUGGUCUGUAACCGACGCUGAGGCUCGAAAGCGUGGGUAGCAAACAGG
rnacentral:rRNA from 1 species